rnacentral:rRNA from 1 species
GAGUAAUGUCUGGGAAACUGCCUGAUGGAGGGGGAUAACUACUGGAAACGGUGGCUAAUACCGCAUAACGUCGCAAGACCAAAGAGGGGGACCUUCGGGCCUCUUGCCAUCAGAUGUGCCCAGAUGGGAUUAGCUUGUUGGUGAGGUAACGGCUCACCAAGGCGACGAUCCCUAGCUGGUCUGAGAGGAUGACCAGCCACACUGGAACUGAGACACGGUCCAGACUCCUACGGGAGGCAGCAGUGGGGAAUAUUGCACAAUGGGCGCAAGCCUGAUGCAGCCAUGCCGCGUGUAUGAAGAAGGCCUUCGGGUUGUAAAGUACUUUCAGCGGGGAGGAAGGUGUUGUGGUUAAUAACCGCAGCAAUUGACGUUACCCGCAGAAGAAGCACCGGCUAACUCCGUGCCAGCAGCCGCGGUAAUACGGAGGGUGCAAGCGUUAAUCGGAAUUACUGGGCGUAAAGCGCACGCAGGCGGUCUGUCAAGUCGGAUGUGAAAUCCCCGGGCUCAACCUGGGAACUGCAUUCGAAACUGGCAGGCUUGAGUCUUGUAGAGGGGGGUAGAAUUCCAGGUGUAGCGGUGAAAUGCGUAGAGAUCUGGAGGAAUACCGGUGGCGAAGGCGGCCCCCUGGACAAAGACUGACGCUCAGGUGCGAAAGCGUGGGGAGCAAACAGGAUUAGAUACCCUGGUAGUCCACGCCGUAAACGAUGUCUACUUGGAGGUUGUGCCCUUGAGGCGUGGCUUCCGGAGCUAACGCGUUAAGUAGACCGCCUGGGGAGUACGGCCGCAAGGUUAAAACUCAAAUGAAUUGACGGGGGCCCGCACAAGCGGUGGAGCAUGUGGUUUAAUUCGAUGCAACGCGAAGAACCUUACCUGGUCUUGACAUCCACAGAACUUUCCAGAGAUGGAUUGGUGCCUUCGGGAACUGUGAGACAGGUGCUGCAUGGCUGUCGUCAGCUCGUGUUGUGAAAUGUUGGGUUAAGU